rnacentral:rRNA from 1 species
GACGAACCGAGCGAACGUUGUUCGGAAUCACUGGGCUUAAAGGGCGCGUAGGCGGGCUGUCAAGUCUGGGGUGAAAUCCCGCGGCUCAACCGUGGAACUGCCUCAGAUACUGACGGUCUCGAGGGAGGUAGGGGCGAGCGGAACUGAUGGUGGAGCGGUGAAAUGCGUUGAUAUCAUCAGGAACUCCGGUGGCGAAGGCGGCUCGCUGGACCUCUUCUGACGCUGAGGCGCGAAAGCCAGGGGAGCGAACGGG